UCUCUUCUCCCCGAGCACUCACCCUAUCCUCUGUCUCACGUACUCACUCUAUCUCUUUCACCCUCUCUCCCUAUCUCGCCGAUCAAACUCGCACCCACGCACACCCAAUCGAACCCCCUAACGGUGAUGCAACACCACCACCACCACCAUUGUAGACCUUCUCUCCCUUUCUCUCCAUCUCCGUGAAGUUCUGGGACACCCAUAAGGCACCCAACCCAGGUUCAACGAACCCGUGGGUUUCAAACAGGAUUCCAGCCACCUCCGGCCAUUCCAUGGCGGAUCUCAGGACUUAUAUUUGAGGUGUACAAUCCCGACAUCAAGGAGUGUUAUUUAGAUCUAUAUAUUACAUAAUGAUUUGUUCCUUUUAUGUCCAAACUGUAUAAAAAACUAAGAUUUGUUCAUUUAUA